GGCGAGGUAGCUCAGAUGGUUAGAGCGUCGGAUUCAUAACCCGGAGGUCGGGGGUUCGAUUCCCCCCCUCGCUA
rnacentral:tRNA from 1 species